rnacentral:piRNA from 1 species
UGUAAUUAGACUGAUAACUACACCUUUUCC